rnacentral:rRNA from 1 species
CGGGGUGAGUAAUGUCUGGGAAACUGCCUGAUGGAGGGGGAUAACUACUGGAAACGGUAGCUAAUACCGCAUAACGUCGCAAGACCAAAGAGGGGGACCUUAGGGCCUCUUGCCAUCGGAUGUGCCCAGAUGGGAUUAGCUAGUAGGUGGGGUAAUGGCUCACCUAGGCGACGAUCCCUAGCUGGCCUGAGAGGAUGACCAGCCACACUGGAACUGAGACACGGUCCAG